rnacentral:rRNA from 1 species
GACGAACGCUGGCGGCGUGCCUAACACAUGCAAGUCGAGCGAGGAGAUUCCUUCGGGAUGAUCCUAGCGGCGGACGGGUGAGUAACACGUGGGCAACCUGCCUCAUAGAGAGGAAUAGCCUCCCGAAAGGGAGAUUAAUACCUCAUAACAUUGCAGUUUCGCAUGGAACAGCAAUUAAAGGAGUAAUCCGGUAUGAGAUGGGCCCGCGGCGCAUUAGCUAGUUGGUGAGGUAACGGCUCACCAAGGCGACGAUGCGUAGCCGACCUGAGAGGGUGAUCGGCCACAUUGGGACUGAGACACGGCCCAGACUCCUACGGGAGGCAGCAGUGGGGAAUAUUGCACAAUGGGGGAAACCCUGAUGCAGCAACGCCGCGUGAGUGAUGACGGCCUUCGGGUUGUAAAGCUCUGUCUUCAGGGACGAUAAUGACGGUACCUGAGGAGGAAGCCACGGCUAACUACGUGCCAGCCGCCGCGGUAACAC